rnacentral:rRNA from 1 species
UACGAGUGCCUCAAGCGUUAUCCGGAAUUAUUGGGCGUAAAGGGUGCGUAGGCGGUUCUGUUAGUCUCGCGUUAAAUUCUUCGGCUUAACCGGGGGCAUGCGCGGGAAACGGCAGGACUAGAAGGUGCGAGGGGUCUCUGGAACUCAUGGUGUAGCGGUGAAAUUCGUAGAUAUUGGGAAGAACACCGGUGGCGAAGGCGGCUCACUGGCCCGUAACUGACGCUCAUGCACGACAGCGUGGGGAUCAAACAGG